CGGGACCGCACAAGCGGUGGAUGAUGUGAUUAAUUCGAUGCAACGACGAAAACCCUUACCUACCCUUGACAUGCCAGGAAUCUUGGUGAGAGCCGAGAGUCGCUUCGGGAGCCUGGACACAGGUGCUGCAUGGCUGUCGUCAGCUCGUGUCGUGAGAUGUUGGGUUAAGUCCCGCGACGAGCGCAACCCUUGUCACUAGUUGCCAGCAUUUAGUUGGGCACUCUAGUGAGACUGCCGGUGACAAACCGGAGGAAGGUGGGGAUGACGUCAAGUCCUCAUGGCCCUUAUGGGUAGGGCUUCACACGUCAUACAAUGGUCGGUACAGAGGGUUGCCAAACCGCGAGGUGGAGCCAAUCCCUAAAAGCCGAUCGUAGUCCGGAUCGUAGUCUGCAACUCGACUACGUGAAGUCGGAAUCGCUAGUAAUCGCGGAUCAGCAUGUCGCGGUGAAUACGUUCCCGGGUCUU
rnacentral:rRNA from 1 species